UCUAUGGGGUUUAAAGUGUCACAAAAAAUAUUAUUUUUAUUUUGUAAUUUUUCCUUUUCUAUCAUGAAAGGUUAUAAAAUAAUGAAAUUUGUUAAAAAAAAAAAAAGACUAAUUGUGAUUAUUAAAUUUUUAUGUGAUCUCCUUACUAGAGAGGUGCUAAAGGGGCAAAUUAAGACAUUGGUGUUCUUAAGAGACAUACAAUAAUUAUAUCUAUUUUAGGAAGUCUUUUAACAAUUUGAUAAGUGUUAAAAACUAUUUAAUUGAUGUAAGGAGAUUAUGAGCUUUAUAAAUCAAAAAGUGAUAAAAUUUCAUGCAAAUGGUGGAAAAUAUGGAUAAAUUUUUUAAGUUUGUUUAUGUUAUAAUUAUCCUUCUUUCCCAAUUUCUUGUUUCAAUGCAAUAUUUUCAGCCUUCUAAACCCUGUAUUCGUGAUCGUGAUUGUCCAAAUUGUCAUUAUCCUGCAAGAAGGAGGUGUCAUAAAAGCAUUUGUGUAUGUCAAUGAUAAGAGAAUACACAAAUGAACCGUUAGAAUAUUUUACGAGUUGUUAUUUAAUUACCGUAAUCACCUAAUAAUUAUAUUUUCUUUUACCUUUUUAAUUUCAUGGGCUUUGUUAGUUUUGUAAUUUAAGAUGAUGCAUCAAAAAUACUAUUUAUAUUGUCUUCUUCUCUUUUAA